GACGAACGCUGGCGGCGUGCUUAACACAUGCAAGUCGAACGGAAAGGCCCUGCUUUUGUGGGGUGCUCGAGUGGCGAACGGGUGAGUAACACGUGAGUAACCUGCCCUUGACUUUGGGAUAACUCCAGGAAACUGGGGCUAAUACCGGAUAGGAGCUCCUGCUGCAUGGUGGGGGUUGGAAAGUUUCGGCGGUUGGGGAUGGACUCGCGGCUUAUCAGCUUGUUGGUGGGGUAGUGGCUUACCAAGGCUUUGACGGGUAGCCGGCCUGAGAGGGUGACCGGCCAUAUUGGGACUGAGAUACGGCCCAGACUCCUACGGGAGGCAGCAGUGGGGAAUAUUGCACAAUGGGCGGAAGCCUGAUGCAGCAACGCCGCGUGCGGGAUGACGGCCUUCGGGUUGUAAACCGCUUUCGCCUGUGACGAAGCGUGAGUGACGGUAAUGGGUAAAGAAGCACCGGCUAACUACGUG
rnacentral:rRNA from 1 species